CCUACGGGAGGCAGCAGUGGGGCAUAUUGCACAAUGGGGGAAACCCUGAUGCAGCGACGCCGCGUGAGUGAAGAAGCAUUUCGGUAUGUAAAGCUCUAUCAGCAGGGAAGAAAAUGACGGUACCUGAUCAAGAAGCCCCGGCUAACUACGUGCCAGCAGCCGCGGUAAUACGUAGGGGGCAAGCGUUAUCCGGAUUUACUGGGUGUAAAGGGGGCGCAGACGGCAGCACAAGCCCGGAGUGAAAGGCCGGGGCUUAACCCCGGGACUGCUUUGGAAACUGUACAGCUAGAGUGCAGGAGAGGUAAGUGGAAUUCGUAGUGUAGCGGUGAAAUGCGUAGAUAGUAGGAGGAACACCAGUGGCGAAGGCGGCUUACUGGACUGUAACUGACGUUGAGGCUCGAAAGCGUGGGGAGCAAACAGGAUUAGAUACCCGUGUAGUC
rnacentral:rRNA from 1 species